GUGUGGACCUUCUCUCGGUACAAAGCAGCCACUUCCCAAGAUGCUUUCUGCUGUUUUCAUUUUCGGUUUUUUGCUUUUUUUUUAAAGCAGGGAUGCUUCUCGUGCAUUGGUUCAUGCAAUUCUACCCUCUUCUGAAACCCUGUGUGACCUGAUCAUAGACUCAAGGCUCUUGGACCCAGAGCUGCCCUUAUCUGGAGAACUAGGAAGUAUGUGAUCCCUUGUCGAGACACAGCGCUCUCCUCUUUAUGCUUUAUUCUAUUGCCAGGGUCAAGUCUUGCCUGACCACACUGGGGAGGAUGUCUAAAUUUGCGCAAUGACUCUGCGUCUGGAGCCAGGGUCCCUCCCUGCUCCGGCCCCGAAAGAUCCCUCAGGAAACGGAGGAAGUAUGGACACACAGCCCAGGCAUUUGGGGGUACAGGCAAAGGAAUGCUCCAGCACGGAAGCAACCAGCUUGGGGAGCGUCUCCUGUUAGCUGGGCUUGUGGCAAAGACUCUACCCCAAAUCCUGCUGCUUCUGAACAUAUCCGCAAAAGGGAAGAGGCCAGUUUCACCGUUAUCUUUUCACCGAGAGGAAGAUGGGGCAUGAGCAGUCAUGUGCCACCGGCUAUGUGAAGGGGACUCCUGUCUAAUUGUUGCGACUCCAGCGAUGCAAGGGUCGCCUGGCCGCCCGCUGGGCGUGGAACUGGACGGCAGGCUGGCUGUUCAGGAAGGACGCGGCCUAUUGUCUACGGAGGCCUUUUAGAUAUUACCAUAGGAGCCCCAUCUGGAGUAUACAGUUGACGAGUCUAUCCACAAAUUACCCGAAAGAUGGUAAGACUUGUCAAAGAAGUUAACUGAAUGGCUGGUUGAGAGGAAUCAGAUAGAGGUCGCCCAUGAACCGGGCCCUAGAGGGGCAUCGCGGCAGCAGCCGCAAAAGAAACCCACGGUGUGGGGGCCUCAUCGGCCACUGGAAGAAAAUCCCCUUAAGAAUGGAGUGUGUGCGGCUCCAUUGCUACCAUCCGCUAAAUGCCCAUCGGCGGCGGCACUGUGGGGCGGGGACCCAUGCAAACACCACACAAAGCAGGCGCUGCUGGCCUCUUACCUGGGG